GAUUCUGGCUCAGGAUGAACGCUGGCGGCGUGCUUAACACAUGCAAGUCGAACGGAGUUACAUGAAACCUAGUGAUUGUAAACUUAGUGGCGGACGGGUGAGUAACGCGUGGGUAACCUGCCGUAUACCGGGGGAUAACACUUAGAAAUAGGUGCUAAUACCGCAUAAGCGCACAUGAUCGCAUGAUCGAGUGUGAAAAACUCCGGUGGUAUACGAUGGACCCGCGUCUGAUUAGAUAGUUGGUGAGGUAACGGCCCACCAAGUCAACGAUCAGUAGCCGGCCUGAGAGGGUGAACGGCCACAUUGGGACUGAGACACGGCCCAAACUCCUACGGGAGGCAGCAGUGGGGAAUAUUGGACAAUGGGGGCAAUCCUGAAUCCAGCGACGCCGCGUGAGUGAAGAAGUAUUUCGGUAUGUAAAGCUCUAUCAGCAGGGAAGAAAAUGACGGUACCUGACUAAGAAGCCCCGGCUAACUACGUGCCAGCCGCCGC
rnacentral:rRNA from 1 species